AUGAACCCUCAAGCAAGCCCCGGACCUGAUGGUUUCGGCCCAUCUUUCUAUAAAUCUUUCUGGCCCUCUAUCAAACCGGUGGUUUUCUCCUUCUUUGCACAAUUCCACCAAGGUACGGCGGACACAGAGCGUCUAAACCGUGCCCAUAUAGCUCUGCUCCCGAAAUCUACCUCCUCCAUCUCACCUGACGCCUUCAGACCAAUUUCCUUGCAAAACUGCCCGGUCAAAGCUGUGGCGAAGGACCUAACGUCGCGCCUCAAACCCUUCAUUCCACAUCUCGUCCAUGGUAACCAAACUGGCUUCAUCACGGGUAGGAACAUUGCAGAAAACUACGUCUUUGCAGCAGAUCUUAUCAGCUCUUGUCACUCUCGAAAACGCCCAACCAUGAUCUUCAAGCUUGACUUUAGAAAGGCUUUUGAUUCGGUUGCUUGGAAUGCCCUGGACAAAAUCCUGGCGGUCCGAGGCUUCUCCCAAACCUUCCGUGGAUGGAUUCAAAACCUCCCCCAUACUGGUAAGACCGCCAUCCUCCUCAACGGCAUCCCAGGAUGUUGGAUCCCAUGCAAGAACGGUCUGUGUCAGGGAGACCCGGCCUCCCCCUACCUCUUCCUAAUUGUAGCCGAUCUGCUACAGCAACUUAUCCUUCAGAGUACCGAUCCCGACCUACAUCACCCCAUCUUUACCCACCUGCCCCCUACUAUACUCCAAUAUGUAGACGAUACCUUGAUCAUCGCAGCCGCCUCUCCCACCGCUGCUGCCUCUCGCAGGAAAAUCCUUCAAAACUUUGCUCAAGCUACUGGCCUCACCAUAAACUUCUCUAAAACAACCCUAGAAACCUUGCAUGCAAACGAAACCCUAGCUGCCAACACUGCCCUCGCUAUGGAAUGCACGCGUGCACCCCUCCCUCAAAUCUAUCUUGGGCUCCCCCUCGCUCCUACCAGGCCACCAUCCUCUGCCUUCUCACCGUUAGUUCACCGAACCCGUAAGCUUCUAGCAGGCUGGCGUGCCAAGAUCCUCGACAGAGGUGACCGUUUCAUCCUCAUCUCGGCCGUUCUUGACUCCCAACUCACUUACUAUAUGUCUGUCUUCCGCAUCCCUAGGAAAACCCUAAAAGUCAUUGAUUCUCUGAGAUGA
rnacentral:rRNA from 1 species